GGGAGAUAGCUGUGUGGAACUCUGGCAUGCCAGAACUUCCAGAACAGUUUGUUUGAAACUGUAGCUCAAAUCACAGGACACUCUUAAGAAACGGAAUGACUCCUUCACUCAAAGAAACCACUCAUUAAAUAUUUGUUGAGUGUUCCGUGAUGGAUAACGGCUGGAGGAGCUCACACAUCUGCACCAUGUCUAUCCAGUCAGGGAGGGCUCUGUGAAAUGAAAGGAAGCACACCAUUCAGGACAUCCAGGUCCUCGUUUGUAUGCAGAGGCUCUGUACUUCUCAGCUGAUAUGUGCAGUAUAAACACCACUGGCUCCCCUCACACAUGCGGCAGAUGUUUGGCAUGCCAACAGGCAGGCAGGUUAUCACCAGGAGAAAAAAAAAGAUUCACUAGAAUAAAUAACACAUGGAAGGAAGAGUUAUGUGAAAUCAAGACCCAGCAUGGCUGCUUUGAUGGUCUAAAUGAAGGGGCAUAAUUUUUUUGGUCAAUGUUAUAAUAAAUCACUCCAUUCUCUCCCCUUCCUUCUUCUCUUCCUCUCCCUCCUCCUCCUUCUCCCACAGACAGGAUGGGGAGGAAGAGAAAGGAAGGAGGUUUUGCCUUCUGCCUGUGGGCUAGGGCAGGGCCAGCCUAGGAACCCACAGGUUGGCAGAUGUGUCUAGUUGAUGCUUCAGGGUUUGCAGGAGCUCUGAGAGAAGAGAAGGUGAAUGUGUGCUCCAAGAAAAAAGGAUACUGAGUUUAUGGAGGUGGCCCAAGAGGGAAAAUGGUUUCAAACAAGAGAGAAGCAAACAAAACAACAAGAA